rnacentral:rRNA from 1 species
UACAGAGGUCCCGAGCGUUGUUCGGAUUCACUGGGCGUAAAGGGUGCGUAGGUGGUGGAGUAAGUCGGAUGUGAAAUCUCCAAGCUCAACUUGGAAACUGCAUUGGAAACUACCUUGCUUGAGGAUUUGAGGGGGGAUUGGAAUACUUGGUGUAGCAGUGAAAUGCGUAGAUAUCAAGUGGAACACCAGUGGCGAAGGCGAAUCCCUGGAAAAUACCUGACACUGAGGCACGAAAGCUAGGGGAGCAAACAGG